ACCUUAGAGACCAACUAAGUUUGUUAUUGGUAUGAGCUUUUGUGUACAUGCACACGAAAGCUCAUACCAAUAACAAACUUAGUUAGUCUCUAAAGU
rnacentral:miRNA from 1 species